UGCCCUCAGAUGAGGAAUAAUCCCGGGAAACUGGGGCUAAUGCCUCAUAGGAGACGGGUGCUGGAAUGCUCUGUCUCUGAAAGGUCCGCCGUCUGAGGAUGAGUCUGCGUCCGAUUAGGUUGUUGUUGGGGUAACGGCCCACCAAGCCAUUGAUCGGUACGGGUUGUGGGAGCAAGAGCCCGGAGAUGGAUUCUGAGACAUGAAUCCAGGCCCUACGGGGCGCAGCAGGCGCGAAAACUUUACAAUGCGAGCAAUCGUGAUAAGGAAACCCUGAGUGCCUGUCAAUGCAGGCUGUUCUGGUGUUUAGUCCGCACCAGGAGAAAGGGCGGGGCAAGACCGGUGCCAGCCGCCGCGGUAAUACCGGCUGCUCGAGUGAUAGCCACUUUUACUGGGCUUAAAGCGUUCGUAGCUUGGUCGUUAAGUCUCUGGGGAAAUCUUCUGGCUUAACCAGAAGGCGUCUCAGAGAAACUGGCGACCUUGGGACCGGGAGAGGUAAGACGUACUUCGGGGGUAGGAGUGAAAUCUUGUAAUCCCCGAGGGACGACCGAUGGCGAAGGCAUCUUACCAGAGCGGCUCCGACAGUGAGGGACGAAAGCUGGGGGAGCAAACCGGAUUAGAUACCCGGGUAGUCCCAGCCGUAAACGAUGUGCGUUAGGUGUGUCAGUGACCACGAGUCACUGAGGUGCCGAAGGCAAACCGUGAAACGCACCGCCUGGGAAGUACGGUCGCAAGGGCUGAAACUUAAAGGAAUUGGCGGGGGA
rnacentral:rRNA from 1 species